GGGGUCUCCGCCCGUCCGAGUGUGAGCACGUGGCUCCUUAAUAAAGAAAACCUUCCCAGGACAAGUGCGUCGAAGUCGUCUUUACGCAGUUGCGGCACCGGGCCCUUCAACGCGCCGGCCCUGAGCGCGGCCCGAGCCACCAAACAACACUCCACGUGGCGGCCAGGGCUACCGACACCGUCAACAAGAUGACGAUCAAGAUGAAUGAGUCGCACUCGGCCGGGUAGCCGCCUGAUGGCAGUGUUUAAUGGGCCUUAUUAAUGGUUCCCUAAUCAGGACAAACAACACUGUCGGCUUCACUUUACCUCCCUACGGGAAUAUCUGCGAGCGCAGACACAUUUGUGGAGAGUGCUGGCCCACGUUAGGAGGAGGCUUGGAGGGCGGCCGCUCGGUUCGCCAAGGUUAAGGGGACAAGGAAAAUCAAUGCCCCGCCACAAAGCAGACGAACGCCAACUCACGCCACAAUUUGCGGGGAAGCCACUCGCGCACACUGCAUGCCAUUACAACCAACCAGGACCACCAAGGGCACACCAGUGCUAACCCCCCCCCCCCCCCGCUCAAAGUCUCCCCGCGGCUGAAACGCUUCUCCCCAUUGAAUAGACGGAAGCAUGGAACUCAUACAGAUGGGGAAAAACACAGGAAGCCAGAAGCGUCAGCAGCUGAUCUACCUUUGAGAAGCAUGGAUCUUGUGAAGAGGACAACGUGGUGUAAACAGUCCGAUCCCAUUCCCUUUUAGAGAUAUCUUUGUAUAGGAAAUCUUCGCUUUAGAGCAUACACCACCAUCCUUCUUGAGCAUUCUGUAAAAAUCAAUUGCCUCUAUUAUCCAUCCCUAGCUCCUGGUGACAUUCCCACAUUCGCAUCGAGAAUGUUUGCGUGGUAAUUCAAUUAUGUAGUGCGAUCAUUAUA